rnacentral:rRNA from 1 species
GAUUAUGGCUCAGAACGAACGCUGGCGGCAUGCCUAACACAUGCAAGUCGAACGAGACCUUCGGGUCUAGUGGCGCACGGGUGCGUAACGCGUGGGAAUCUGCCCCUCGGUUGGGAAUAACACAGAGAAAUUUGUGCUAAUACCUUAUAAUGUCUUCGGACCAAAGAUUUAUCGCCGAGGGAUGAGCCCGCGUAGGAUUAGGUAGUUGGUGGGGUAAUGGCCUACCAAGCCGACGAUCCUUAGCUGGUCUGAGAGGAUGAUCAGCCACACUGGGACUGAGACACGGCCCAGACUCCUACGGGAGGCAGCAGUGGGGAAUAUUGGACAAUGGGCGAAAGCCUGAUCCAAGCAAUGCCGCGUGAGUGAUGAAGGCCUUAGGGUUGUAAAGCUCUUUUACCCGGGAUGAUAAUGACAGUACCGGGAGAAUAAGCUCCGGCUAACUCCGUGCCAGCCGCAGC